rnacentral:rRNA from 1 species
AGCAGCCGCGGUAAUUCCAGCUCCAAUAGCGUAUAUUAAAGUUGUUGCAGUUAAAAAGCUCGUAGUUGAAUUUCGGGGUCAGUAGGUUGGUCAUGCCACUGGUAUGUACUGGUCUCACUGAUUCCUCCUUCCUGAUGAACCGUAAUGCCAUUAAUUUGGUGUUGCAGGGAAUCUGGACUGUUACUUUGAAAAAAUUAGAGUGUUUAAAGCAGGCUAACGCCUGAAUACAUUAGCAUGGAAUAAUGAGAUAGGACGUUCGAUCCUAUUUUGUUGGUUUCUAGGAUUGACGUAAUGAUUAAUAGGGAUAGUUGGGGGCAUUAGUAUUCAAUUGUCAGAGGUGAAAUUCUUGGAUUUAUUGAAGACUAACUACUGCGAAAGCAUUUGCCAAGGAUGUUUUCAUUAAUCAAGACGAAAGUUAGGGGAUCGAAGACGAUCAGAUACCGUCGUAGU